GACGAACGCUGGCGGCGUGCUUAACACAUGCAAGUCGAACGAAGUGGCGAACGGGUGAGUAACGCGUAAUAAACCUGCCCUUCAGAGGGGGACAACAGUUGGAAACGACUGCUAAUACCGCAUACUGAAGGAGGGGAAUGCGUCGGAUUAGCUAGUUGGAGGGGUAACGGCCCACCAAGGCGAUGAUCAGUAGCCGGUCUGAGGGGUUGUACGGCCACAUCUGGACUGAGACACGGCCCAGACUCCUACGGGAGGCAGCAGUGGGGAAUCUUCCGCAAUGGACGGAAGUCUUGCGGGGCAACGCCGCGGGAGGGAUGACGGCCUUCGGGUUGUAAAGCUCUGUUAAUCGGGACGCGGUACCGGAAUAGAAAGCCACGGCUAACUACGUGCCAGCCGCCGCGGUAAUAC
rnacentral:rRNA from 1 species